GUGUGUGUGUGUGUGUGUGUGUGUGUGUGUGUGUGUGUGAGAAAGUGUUGAGUCGCUCCCAGGCGCAGCCAGCAGGGGGCAGCAGAGUCAUAGUUAUUAAUGUUUAAUAUAACCAGAAGUGGCUGACGUGUUUUCUUGGUUCUGCUGGUUGUGGAGUCUUUGUAGAAACUUGACUCCAGCUUUCAGAUAUUAACACUGAGGUAAAAAUACAAAAUGUAGUUUGAAUCUUUACCUUUUCUGACAAAUUUGAUAAAAAAAACCCUCCAGGGACGUGACGUCAAGACCAGAGACACAGAGUGAAUGUCCUCGCUGCUUCUCAGGACGCUUCAUGAUGUUUCCCUCAGGAGACAGUUGGACGUCGGUGGAGCUCUGAGACAUUCUGUUUCAUCCAGUUCUGACCUCAGCGACAGUUUCUCGGAGCCUCCUCCUCCGUCCUCCAUCCCCCCGCCUGUGGCUCCAUCCAGUUCUGCAGCUCUGGUUCCUCGGGGAGAAUCGCUCCUGACGUGUUUUCCAUUGCGUUGGUGCAGCGUGUCGUCGCAGCUCUGGCUCCGUGCAGUCGUUCCGUUGCUGCUCUCUGGGCUCUGGUUUGGUGAAGCUUCCCGGCUCCGGAUCACCAGAGGGGAAAAUAGCUUCAGUGUGUUUUUUACAAUCAGAGCAGCGGUAACUCUCGUUCCUCUUCGCUGCACUCAAACUGCCUCUGUGUUUCAAACGCAUCCUUCUCAAUAAAAGCCUUAAAGUUA